rnacentral:rRNA from 1 species
GGUUUCUGCUUAGUGGCGAACGGGUGAGUAACGCGUGAAGAACCUGCCUUUCAGUGGGGGACAACAGUUGGAAACGACUGCUAAUACCGCAUAAUGUACUUUUGGGGCAUCCCUGAGGUACCAAAGAUUUAUUGCUGAAAGAUGGUCUCGCGUCUGAUUAGCUAGAUGGCGGGUAACGGCCACCAUGGCGACGAUCAGUAGCCGGUCUGAGAGGAUGAACGGCCACAUUGGGACUGAGAUACGGCCCAGACUCCUACGGGAGGCAGCAGUGGGGAAUAUUGGGCAAUGGGCGAAAGCCUGACCCAGCAACGCCGCGUGAAGGAAGAAGGCCUUCGGGUUGUAAACUUCUUUUACCAGGGACGAAGAACGUGACGGUACCUGGAGAAAAAGCAACGGCUAACUACGUG